GCCGAUGUAGCUCAGUUGGUAGAGCAACUGAUUCGUAAUCAGGAGGUCGUCCGUUCGAUUCGGAUCUUCGGCA
rnacentral:tRNA from 1 species